GUGGGGAAUCUUGCACAAUGGGGGAAACCCUGAUGCAGCGACGCCGCGUGAGCGAUGAAGCCCUUCGGGGUGUAAAGCUCUUUCGACGGGAAAGAUUAUGACGGUACCCGAAGAAGAAGCUGCGGCUAACUACGUGCCAGCAGCCGCGGUAAUACGUAGGCAGCAAGCGUUGUUCGGAAUUACUGGGCGUAAAGAGUGUGUAGGCGGUGCUCUAAGUCUGUUGUGAAAUCUCCCGGCUUAACCGGGAGGGUGCAGCGGAAACUGGUGUGCUCGAGGGUGGGAGAGGUAAGCGGAAUUCCUGGUGUAGCGGUGAAAUGCGUAGAUAUCAGGAGGAACACCUGUGGUGUAGACAGCUUACUGGACCACUUCUGACGCUGAGACACGAAAGCGUGGGUAGCAAACAGGAUUAGAAACCCGGGUAGUCC
rnacentral:rRNA from 1 species